CCUUAGAGAAAAUCUGUGUCUUGUAGCUUUUUUGGCUGAAAUCCACUUUUAUUAUAUUGGAGACUUAUUGGUGUAGUGUAUGGUGUGGAACAGAGGGAGCACUCUAAAAUCAUCUGUGUCUUGGUCUUUUAGUGGGCUUGUGUCUUGGGAGAUAACCUUCGCAAGUGUUUCAAUUUCUCCUCCAGGGGGAUAGUUUUUUUCCCAUUGCUCCCCAUCCCUGGCUGUGGCAUUCUCAAUCAACUUCCUUGUCGCCUUCUCCCCUGCUGACUAUGGAUUUUUUUGUCCCUUAGGUGAGACGGGAAAGUGGGCUGGAGUUGAGCAGAGUUCCCGUCUCCUAGCUAGGGGCAUACUCUGGAGUACGCAAAUCCAACAGUCCUGACAGAUGAAAGCAGCUUCCUGUAUAGUUGACCUGGAAGGUCAACUUCUUGUCAGAGUUUUACAUGAAUUAUUUUUAUGGUGGAAAUAGAUGGAAAUGUUCCACCAAAAAUGAUUUUUAUCAGGAACUGUUACAGCCACCUCAACCUUCAGCAACACCACUGUUCAAGGCAACAUCCUUCAACAGCAGAAAGAUGACUCGCUGUAUGCUCAGACAUGGGGCCUCACUAUGUUUCACAGGCUGGUCUAAAACUCCUGAGCUCCAGGGAUCUGCCUGCCUCCGCUUCCCAAAG